rnacentral:rRNA from 1 species
GCACGAAGCCGGAAUCGCUAGUAAUCGCAGAUCAGCAUGCUGCGGUGAAUACGUUCCCGGGUCUUGUACACACCGCCCGUCACACCAUGGGAGUCGGAAAUGCCCGAAGUCAGUGGCCCAACCGCAAGGAGGGAGCUGCCGAAGGCAGGUCCGGUGACUGGGGUGAAGUCGUAACAAGGUAGC